CUCAGCGUGCGUCACUGUUAAGUAAACAGCAGCGAAUGUGCUAUUCAAAUCAACCUCUGUAGGAGACACAGGGUCAAUGAACACACAUCUACCACCUCAGCUGAAGAGCUAGAUUAACAAACUUAUUGCAGGGCAGCUUCCAGAGCCGAGCUAGGUUCAUUAACCCUACAUGUCCUAGAGCUGUGAUGUUUAACCUUGGUAUUACUGACGCACAGAGAC